rnacentral:pre_miRNA from 1 species
AACUCUGUCCUGUUUGGAUCAGCCAAGGCUCGUUAUUAUUAGCUAAUUUUUAGCCCAAGCUAAUAACUAGAACUAGCUGAUCCAAACAGGCCCUUAGUU